rnacentral:sRNA from 1 species
GGUAGGCAAGCGCUGGAUGACCUGAGGGGGUAACACCCACACACUCGGACCAGGGGCCUACCUUCUU